GACGAACGCUGGCGGCGCGCCUAACACAUGCAAGUCGAACGAGCGAGAGAGAGCUUGCUUUCUCGAGCGAGUGGCGAACGGGUGAGUAACGCGUGAGGAACCUGCCUCUAAGAGGGGGACAACAGUUGGAAACGACUGCUAAUACCGCAUAAGCCCCCGUUCCCCCUGGGCACGGAGGGAAAAGGGGGAAUCCGCUUUGGGAUGGCCCCGCUUCCGAUUGGCUAGUUGGGGGGGUAAUGGCCCACCAAGGCGCCGAUCGGUAGCCGGACUGGGGGGUUGAACGGCCACAUUGGGACUGAGACACGGCCCAGACUCCUACGGGAGGCAGCAGUGGGGAAUAUUGCACAAUGGGGGAAACCCUGAUGCAGCGACGCCGCGUGGAGGAAGAAGGUCUUCGGAUUGUAAACUCCUGUUGUUGGGGAAGAUAAUGACGGUACCCAACAAGGAAGUGACGGCUAACUACGUA
rnacentral:rRNA from 1 species